rnacentral:rRNA from 1 species
GCAGCCCUAAGCGGGUGGUAAAUUCCAUCCAAGGCUAAAUACGGGCAGCAGACCGAUAGCAAACAAGUACCGCAAGGGAAAGAUGAAAAGGACUUUGAAAGGAGAGUUAAAGAGUGCUUGAAAUUGCUGGGAGGGAAGCAAAUGGAGGUCGUGGAUGCGCCCUGGUCGGAUGCGAAACUGUAAGUGGCUGCUCCGCCGCUUGUCGCGGGGCAACGGUCAGUGUGGGCCAAUGGGGCGGGAUAAUAGCAGGCCUUGGUGCGCCCGCCAAUGCCGCCGUGUUGGCCGAGGGAUGAAGCACGUGCCACUUGGUGGUGGGCCGUGAGCACAUGCGCGCUUGGGACGUUGGCACCCUGGCCUUUCCAUCCGACUUGUCUUGAAACAUGGACCAAGGAGUCUAACAUGCAUGUGAGCUAGUGGGUGGAAAACCCACAGAGGCGCAAGAAACUUGAGAGGCGGGAUCCCCUCACGGGGGGUGCACCAUCGACGGACUGUGAUCUUUUGUGAAAGGCUCGAGUGAGAGCAUGCUUGCUGGGAACCAAAAGAUGGUGAAUUAUGCUUGAGCAGGGCAAAGCCAAAGGAAACUCUGGUGGAGGCUCGCAGUGAUACUGACAUGCAAAUCGUUCAUCAGACUUGGGUAUAGGGGCAAAAUCCUAAUCAAACCAUCCAGUAAUUGGUUCCCUCCAAAGUUUCCCUCAGGAUAGCUGGAGCUUGUGUAGUUUUAUUGGGUAAAGCUAAUGAUUAGAGGCCUUGAGGGUGAAUCACCCUCGACCUAUUUGCAAACUUUAAAUAGGUAAGAGGCCGGAGUUGCUCGAUUGAACCCCAGCGCGGAAUGGGAGCUCCAAGUGGGCCAUUUUUGGUAAACAUAAUUGGCAAUGAGGGAUGAACCAAAAGCCUGGUUAUGGUGCCCAACUGCAUGCUAACCUAUAACCCACAAAGGGUGUUGAUUGAUUAAGACAGCAAGACGAUGGCCAUGGAAGCCAAAAUCCGCUAAGGAGUGUGUAACAACUCACCUACCAAAUCAACUAGCCCUAAAAAUGGAUGGCGCUGAAGCACAUUGCCUAUACCCAGCCAUCGGUGAGUGCGAGGCCUUGAUGAGUAGGAGGGCACGAGGGUUGUGGCGCAGCUCCGGGUGAGAGCCCGAGUGAAACGGUCCUCGGUGUAGAUCUUGAUGGUAGUAGCAAAUAUUCAAAUUAGAACUUUGAAGACUAAAGUGAAGAAAGGUUCCAUUUAAACAACAAUUGAAGAUGGGUUAGUCAACCCUGAGACGUGGGGCAGUCUCAUGCCGAGGGCACAAUGCACGUCGACCGUUGAAAGAGAAUCGGGUCAAUAUUCUAGAACCAAGAGGUGGCGGAGGACGGUAACAUGAAUGAAUCCUGGAGACGCCGGCGGGGGCCCUGGGAAGAGUUCUCUUUUGUUUUUAACAGCCCGUCCACCUUGAAAUCGGAUCAUCCAAAGAUAGGGUCUAGUGGCCGGUAAAGCACCGCACAUCUUGCGGUGUCAGGCGCGCCCCCGGCGGCCCAUGAAAAUCUAGAGGAGUGAAUAUCGACCGCGCACAGUCGUACUCAUAACCACAUCAGGUCUCCACGGUGAACAACCUCUAGUCGAUAGAACAAUGUAGGUAAGGGAAGUUAGCAAAACAAAUCCGUAAAUUUGGGAAAAGGAUUGGCUCUAAGGGUUGGGCCUAGGGGACUGUGCCUCCAUGCCACUGGAUGUUGGUUGUCUGCUCGAGCUGCUCGCAUGGCGAUGGUGGACCGCCACAUGCCGACCGGGCAACGGGUGCAGAAUGCCUCGCUCCCCCCCCCCUGAGGGGUGGGGCUCUCCCUAGGCAGCAAACAACCCUCUCAAAACUAGUAUGGACAAGGGGAGUCUAACUGUUUAUUUAAAACAAAGCCUUGUGAUGGUCCCACCAAAUGUUGACACAAUGUGAUUUCUAACCAGUGCUCUUAAUGUCAAGGUGAAGAAAUUCAACCAAGCGCAGGUAAACGACAAGAGUAACUAUGACUCUCUUAAGGUAGCCAAAUGCCUUGUCAUCUAGUUAGUGUUGCGCAUGAAUGGAUUAACGAGAUUUCUACUAUCCCUAUCUACUAUCUAGUGAUACCACAACCAAGGGAACGGGCUUGGAAGAAUCAGCAAGGAAAGAAGACCUUGUUGAGCUUGACUCUAGUCUGACUUUGUGAAAUGACUUGAGAGGUGUAGAAUAAGUUGGAGCCCCGUGCGCAAGUAAAAUACCACUACUUUUAACGUCAUUUUACUUACUCUGUGAGGUGGAGGCAAGGCUCAGCCCUUGCUUCUGGGCUUAAGGUGUGCACUCGGAAGCGCGCUGAUCCAGGUGGAAGACAUUGUCAGGUGGGGAGUUUGGUUGGGGCGGGACAUCUGUUAAAAAAUAAUGCAGGUGUCCUAAGAUGAGCUCAACGAGAACAAAAAUCUCAUGUGGAACAAAAGGGUAAAAGCUCAUUUGAUUUUGAUUUUCAUUACGAAUACAAACUGUGAAAGUAUGGCCUAUCAAUCCUCUAGUUGUUCGGAAUUUAAAGCUAGAGAUGUCAAAAAAGUUACCACAGGGAUAACUGGCUUGUGGCAGCCAAGCGUUCAUAGCGACGUUGCUUUUUGAUCCUUCGAUGUCGGCUCUUCCUAUCAUUGCGAAGCAGAAUUCGCCAAGUGUUGGAUUGUUCACCCACCAAUAGGGAACGUGAGCUGGGUUUAGACCGUCGUGAGACAGGUUAGUUUUACCCUACUGAUGAUCGGUGCCGCAAUAGUAAUUCAACUUAGUACGAGAGGAACCGUUGAUUCACAUAAUUGGUCAUUGCGCUUGGUUGAAAAGCCAGUGGCGCGAAGCUACCAUGUGUAGGA